UUUAUGGAGAGUUUGAUCCUGGCUCAGGAUGAACGCUGGCGGCGUGCCUAAUACAUGCAAGUCGAGCGAACGGACGAGAAGCUUGCUUCUCUGAUGUUAGCGGCGGACGGGUGAGUAACACGUGGAUAACCUACCUAUAAGACUGGGAUAACUUCGGGAAACCGGAGCUAAUACCGGAUAAUAUUUUGAACCGCAUGGUUCAAAAGUAAAAGACGGUCUUGCUGUCACUUAUAGAUGGAUCCGCGCUGCAUUAGCUAGUUGGUAAGGUAACGGCUUACCAAGGCAACGAUGCAUAGCCGACCUGAGAGGGUGAUCGGCCACACUGGAACUGAGACACGGUCCAGACUCCUACGGGAGGCAGCAGUAGGGAAUCUUCCGCAAUGGGCGAAAGCCUGACGGAGCAACGCCGCGUGAGUGAUGAAGGUCUUCGGAUCGUAAAACUCUGUUAUUAGGGAAGAACAUAUGUGUAAGUAACUGUGCACAUCUUGACGGUACCUAAUCAGAAAGCCACGGCUAACUACGUGCCAGCAGCCGCGGUAAUACGUAGGUGGCAAGCGUUAUCCGGAAUUAUUGGGCGUAAAGCGCGCGUAGGCGGUUUUUUAAGUCUGAUGUGAAAGCCCACGGCUCAACCGUGGAGGGUCAUUGGAAACUGGAAAACUUGAGUGCAGAAGAGGAAAGUGGAAUUCCAUGUGUAGCGGUGAAAUGCGCAGAGAUAUGGAGGAACACCAGUGGCGAAGGCGACUUUCUGGUCUGUAACUGACGCUGAUGUGCGAAAGCGUGGGGAUCAAACAGGAUUAGAUACCCUGGUAGUCCACGCCGUAAACGAUGAGUGCUAAGUGUUAGGGGGUUUCCGCCCCUUAGUGCUGCAGCUAACGCAUUAAGCACUCCGCCUGGGGAGUACGACCGCAAGGUUGAAACUCAAAGGAAUUGACGGGGACCCGCACAAGCGGUGGAGCAUGUGGUUUAAUUCGAAGCAACGCGAAGAACCUUACCAAAUCUUGACAUCCUUUGACAACUCUAGAGAUAGAGCUUUCCCCUUCGGGGGACAAAGUGACAGGUGGUGCAUGGUUGUCGUCAGCUCGUGUCGUGAGAUGUUGGGUUAAGUCCCGCAACGAGCGCAACCCUUAAGCUUAGUUGCCAUCAUUAAGUUGGGCACUCUAAGUUGACUGCCGGUGACAAACCGGAGGAAGGUGGGGAUGACGUCAAAUCAUCAUGCCCCUUAUGAUUUGGGCUACACACGUGCUACAAUGGACAAUACAAAGGGCAGCGAAACCGCGAGGUCAAGCAAAUCCCAUAAAGUUGUUCUCAGUUCGGAUUGUAGUCUGCAACUCGACUACAUGAAGCUGGAAUCGCUAGUAAUCGUAGAUCAGCAUGCUACGGUGAAUACGUUCCCGGGUCUUGUACACACCGCCCGUCACACCACGAGAGUUUGUAACACCCGAAGCCGGUGGAGUAACCUUUUAGGAGCUAGCCGUCGAAGGUGGGACAAAUGAUUGGGGUGAAGUCGUAACAAGGUAGCCGUAUCGGAAGGUGCGGCUGGAUCACCUCCUUUCU
rnacentral:rRNA from 1 species